rnacentral:rRNA from 1 species
UGGGGGAUAUUGCGCAAUGGGCGAAAGCCUGACGCAGCGACGCCGCGUGGGUGAUGAAGGCCUUCGGGUCGUAAAGCCCUGUCGAGGGGAACGAAACGGCUUCGACCUAACACGUCGAGGCCCUGACGGUACCCACAAAGGAAGCACCGGCUAACUCCGUGCCAGCAGCCGCGGUAAUACGGAGGGUGCAAGCGUUGUUCGGAAUCACUGGGCGUAAAGGGCGUGUAGGCGGUCCGCUAAGUCUGAUGUGAAAGCCCGGGGCUCACCCCCGAAACUGCGUCUGAAACUACAGGUCUAGAAUACUGGAGAGGGAAGGGGAAUUUCUCAUGUAGGGGUAAAGUCCGUAGAUAUGCGAAGGAACACCAGAGGCGAAGGCGCCUUCCUGGACAGUAAUUGACGCUGAGGUGCGAAAGCGUGGGGAUCAAACAGGAUUAGAUACCCUGGUAGUCCACGCUGUAAACGAUGAACACUAGAUGUUGGAGGAUUUGACCCCUUCAGCGUCGAAGCUAACGCGUUAAGUGUUCCGCCUGGGAAGUACGGUCGCAAGACUA